rnacentral:rRNA from 1 species
GCAAGUUGAACGAGAAGCUUAUGAUUGAUCCUUCGGGUGAUUUGAUGAGUGGACAGUAGCGAAAGGGUGAGUAACGCGUGAGCAACCUGCCUCUAUGUCGGGGACAACAGUUGGAAACGACUGCUAAUACCGGAUGUGGCUUCUUUACCGCAUGAUUUAGAAGCUAAAGAUUUAUUGCAUAGAGAUGGGCUCGCGUUCCAUUAGCUAGUUGGUGAGGUAACGGCUCACCAAGGCGACGAUGGAUAGGUGGUCUGAGAGGACGAUC